AUCAACGCUGGCGGCGUGCCUAACACAUGCAAGUCGAACGAGAAAGGGCCCGCAAGGGCCUGAGUACAGUGGCGAACGGGUGAGUAACACGUGACUAACCUGCCCUGAAGUGGGGAAUAACCUCGGGAAACCGGGGCUAAUACCGCAUAACCUCCGCGGGUGCAAUUCCUGUGGAGCAAACGGGUAACUGGCUUCAGGAGGGGGUCGCGGCUGAUUAGCUAGUUGGUAGGGUAACGGCCUACCAAGGCAGUGAUCAGUAGCCGGCCUGAGAGGGCGCACGGCCACACUGGAACUGAAACACGGUCCAGACUCCUACGGGAGGCAGCAGUAGGGAAUAUUCGCAGCAAUGGGGCGAAACCCUGAUGCAGCAACGCCGCGUGGAGGAUGACGUCCCUUUGGGGACGUAAACUCCUUUUCGACGGGGAUGAUAAUGACAGGUACCCCGGCUGGAAGAAGCCUCGGCUAACUACGUGUCAGCAGCCGCGGUAAUACGGGAGGGAGGCAAGCGUUGUCCGGAUUUACUGGGCGUAAAGCGCGCGCUAGGCGGCAUCGCAAGUAGACGUGUGAAAUCUCCCGGCCUAACCGGGAAGGGUCAGCCUUAUACUGCCAGGGCUAGAGGACGUAGAGGGGGUAACUGGAAUUCUGGUGUAGCGGUGAAAUGCGUAGAUAUCGAGCAGGAAUACCCUGGCGAAGGCGGGUGCCCUGGGCCUGACACUGACGCUGAUGCGCGAAGGCUAGGGGAGCGAACGGGAUUAGAUACCCCGGUAGUCCUAGCAUUAAACGAUGACCACUAGGUGUGGGGGGUGUUGACCCCUUCCGUGCCGAAGCCAACGCAUUAAGUGGUCCGCCUGGGGAGUACGGUCGCAAGACUAAAACUCAAAGGAAUUGACGGGGACCCGCACAAGCAGCGGAGCGUGUGGUUUAAUUCGAUGCAACGCGAAGAACCUUACCUGGGCUUGACAUGCAAUCGCAACACCUUGAAAGAGGUGCCUCCUUCGGGACGGUUGCGCAGAUGCUGCAUGGCUGUCGUCAGCUCGUGUCGUGAGAUGUUGGGUUAAGUCCCGCAACGAGCGCAACCCUCGUCUUUAGUUGAAAAUCUAAAGAGACUGCCGGAAACAAACCGGAGGAAGGUGGGGAUGAUGUCAAGUCAGCAUGGCUCUUACGUCCAGGGCUACACACACGCUACAAUGGUCGUUACAGCGAGAAGCGACACUGCGAAGUGAAGCAGAUCUCUAAAAGGCGGCCUCAGUUCAGAUUGCACUCUGCAACCCGAGUGCAUGAAGUCGGAGUUGCUAGUAACCGCGUGUCAGCAUAGUGCGGUGAAUAUGUUCCCGGGUCUUGUACACACCGCCCGUCACGUCAUGGGAGUCGGCAAUACCUGAAGUCCGUGAGCUAACCCCCCCCUUGUGGGUGUGGGAGGCAGCGGCCGAGGGUAGGGCUGAUGACUGGGACG
rnacentral:rRNA from 1 species